AGUGCCUGAGCACGCCAUCCUCCUGUACCCUACUCCAUUACGAUGUGAUUCCUUCGUGUUAAAACUGUGAGUACUUGCCAAUGGCCCACCGUUUUACCCCUUUCGGGUAACACAUGUGCAUUCAUACUAGGCACACGUUUUCUGUAAGGAACCAGAUAGUAACUAUUUUAGGUUAUUUGGAGGAGGCAGGAUACUCAAAGCAAAGCAGGAAGACUAAUGCUGUGGUCAGGGGUGAGAUCAGGUCAGGCAGCUUAUGCCUGUAAUCCCAGCACUUAGAGAGGCCGAGGCUGGAGGAUUGCUUGAGCCCAGGAGUUUGAGACCAGCAAGGGCAACAUAGUGAGACUCAUCUCUCAAAAAAUUAAAAAAGUAUCCAGGCAUGGUGGCACUUGCCUGUAGUAUCAACUACUCAGGAGGCUGAGGUAGGAGGAUCUAUCCAGCUAGGGAGAUCAAGGCUGCAGUGAGCCAUGAUCACGCCACUGCACUCCAGCCUGGGUGACAGAGUGUGAGACCCUGUCUCAAAAAACUAACUAAAUAAAUAAAUAAAAGGCAAGAUCAGCAGGGGUCUAACCCACAGAGCAACUAAGGCCAGAAGUAGAAGAGAAAAUGGGGGAAAGGGCUGGACGAUGAGAUUGGUGUUACAUGCAGAAUUGUCAAGAUUUGGCCGGGUGUAAUCUGAUAACUUCUUCUGUUGCUUCUUGCUUAAAAGAUAUGUAGGCCGGGAGCGGUGGCUCACGCCUAUAAUCCCAGCACUUUGGGAGGCUGAGGCGGGCAGAUCAUGAGGUCAGGAUAUCGAGACCAUCCUGGCCAACACGGUGAAACCCCGUCUCUACUUAAAAUACAAAAAAUUAGCGGGUGCCUGUAGUCUCAGCUGCUCGGGAGGCUGAGGCAGGAGAAUGGCGUGAACCUGGGAGGCGGAGCUUGCAGUGAGCCAAGAUCUCGGCACUGCACUCCAGCCUGGGCAACAGAACAAGACUCCAUCUCAGAAAAAAAAAAAAAAAAUAUGUAAUAUUGUCCCAGAGUCUACUGGAAGAAGAGUGAUGCAUUCCUGUUGCAGGAGGGCUACAGAAUUUUGCAUAUUAGCUUACCUUAUAAAAAGGAUGCUCAGUGCAAGUGCCUCGGGCUGGGAGACACUGGAGGCAGAUAAAAAUGCAAGGCUAGAUAAACUAAUUUGCCAUUCUCAAUUAUAGAGUUGAUAAUUAAAACCAUGAGAGUUCUAUAAUAUUUAGGAUUUGCUCUAUUAAGAGAAAGUAAGAAAUUUAGGGGAAGAUGGCCGGGCGCGGUGGCUAACGCCUAUAA
rnacentral:lncRNA from 1 species